CGUCAAAUCAUCAUGCCUCUUACGCCUUGGGCUACACACGUGCUACAAUGGCCACUACAAAGAGCAGCAAUAUAGUAAUAUGGAGCGAAUCUCAAAAAAGUGGUCCCAAUUCGGAUUGAGGGCUGCAACCCGCCCUCAUGAAAUCGGAGUUGCUAGUAAUCCCAAAUCAGCAUGUUGGGGUGAAUGCGUUCCCGGGUCUU
rnacentral:rRNA from 1 species